CAGUAGCCACGGUAAUACGAAGGGUGCAAGCGUUAAUCGGAAUUACUGGGCGUAAAGCGUGCGUAGGCGGUUUGUUAAGUCUGUUGUGAAAUCCCCGGGCCCAACCUGGGAAUGGCAAUGGAUACUGGCAAGCUAGAGUGUGUCAGAGGAUGGUGGAAUUCCCGGUGUAGCGGUGAAAUGCGUAGAGAUCGGGAGGAACAUCAGUGGCGAAGGCGGCCAUCUGGGACAACACUGACGCUGAGGCACGAAAGCGUGGGGAGCAAACAGGAUUAGAUACCCGAGUAGUCCCUGUCUCUUAUAC
rnacentral:rRNA from 1 species